UACGGAGGGUGCAAGCGUUAUCCGGAAUCACUGGGUUUAAAGGGUGCGUAGGUGGGAAUGUAAGUCAGUGGUGAAAUCUCCGUGCUUAACAUGGAAACUGCCAUUGAUACUAUGUUUCUUGAAUUUUCUGGAGGUAAGCGGAAUAUGUCAUGUAGCGGUGAAAUGCUUAGAUAUGACAUAGAACACCAAUUGCGAAGGCAGCUUGCUACAGGGAUAUUGACACUGAGGCACGAAAGCGUGGGGAUCAAACAGG
rnacentral:rRNA from 1 species